UUCAAAAUAAACCAGAUCUCGGCCAAAUUGGACCCCCCGUGAUACAUACGGACCACGCUGUGCAUAGUACAUCAGCACGUUGUAGCCCACGUGUAUUGUCCACCACACGUACUAUAGAAAGCGACAACUCCCAAAUCCAUACCUUGAACUCACGCGAAACAACCUAUGUAAACGAAAGAAGAGGAGAGAGCCUGCAAAUUUGAAAGCUUCACCUGGUUCUUUCAUGGCUUCCUUGCUAAAAGCUCCCUCUCCUCUCCACAAUGCGUCACCUCUCUCUCUCCCACGUACCACCAUCUCCACCACCUUCCAGCCUCUCCUCCCACCGAGAUCGAAGCUCCGGCCGUGGCCUCUCGCCCUAAAGAGCAGUAAA
rnacentral:lncRNA from 1 species